rnacentral:rRNA from 1 species
AUUGAACGCUGGCGGCAUGCCUUACACAUGCAAGUCGAACGGCAGCACGGGAGCAAUCCUGGUGGCGAGUGGCGAACGGGUGAGUAAUGUAUCGGAACGUGCCCAGUCGUGGGGGAUAACGUAGCGAAAGCUACGCUAAUACCGCAUACGAUCUAUGGAUGAAAGCGGGGGAUCGCAAGACCUCGCGCGAUUGGAGCGGCCGAUAUCAGAUUAGGUAGUUGGUGGGGUAAAGGCCCACCAAGCCUGCGAUCUGUAGCUGGUCUGAGAGGACGACCAGCCACACUGGAACUGAGACACGGUCCAGACUCCUACGGGAGGCAGCAGUGGGGAAUUUUGGACAAUGGGCGCAAGCCUGAUCCAGCAAUGCCGCGUGCAGGAUGAAGGCCUUCGGGUUGUAAACUGCUUUUGUACGGAACGAAACGGCUUUUUCUAUACAGAGGGUCCAUGACGGUACCGUAAGAAUAAGCACCGGCUAACUACGUGCCAGCAGCCGCGGUAACAC